UACGGAGGGUGCAAGCGUUAUCCGGAUUCACUGGGUUUAAAGAGUGCGUAGGUGGGCAAGUAAGUCAGUGGUGAAAUCUCCGGGCUUAACCCGGAAACUGCCAUUGAUACUAUUUGUCUUGAAUACUGUGGAGGUCAGCGGAAUAUGUCAUGUAGCGGUGAAAUGCUUAGAUAUGACAUAGAACACCAAUUGCGAAGGCAGCUUACUACGGAUCGAUUGACACUGAGGCACGAAAGCGUGGGGAUCAAACAGG
rnacentral:rRNA from 1 species